UACGUAGGGGGCGAGCGUUACCCGGAUUUACUGGGCGUAAAGCGCGUGUAGGCGGCUGGUCAAGCGUGGUGUGAAAUCUCCGGGCUCAACCCGGAAACUGCAUUGCGAACUGACCUGGCUGGAGUGCAGGAGAGGGCAGCGGAAUUCCCGGUGUAGCGGUGAAAUGCGCAGAUAUCAGGAGGAACACCGGUGGCGAAGGCGGGUCUCUGGGCAACAACUGACGCUGAGGAGCGAAAGCGUGGGGAGCGAACAGG
rnacentral:rRNA from 1 species